rnacentral:rRNA from 1 species
UACGUAGGGUGCAAGCGUUGUCCGGAAUUAUUGGGCGUAAAGAGCUCGUAGGCGGUUUGUCGCGUCUGCUGUGAAAACUCGGGGCUUAACUCCGGGCCUGCAGUGGGUACGGGCAGACUAGAGUGCGGUAGGGGAGACUGGAAUUCCUGGUGUAGCGGUGAAAUGCGCAGAUAUCAGGAGGAACACCGGUGGCGAAGGCGGGUCUCUGGGCCGAUACUGACGCUGAGGUGCGAAAGCGUGGGGAGCGAACAGG